rnacentral:rRNA from 1 species
CCUACGGGAGGCUGCAGUGGGGAAUAUUGCGCAAUGGGCGAAAGCCUGACGCAGCGACGCCGCGUGAGGGAUGAAGGUCUUCGGAUCGUAAACCUUUGUCAGCAGGGAAGAACGGUCACUGUGCUAAUCAGCAGUGAAUUGACGGUAUCUGCAAAGGAAGCACCGGCUAACUCCGUGCCAGCAGCCGCGGUAAUACGGCGGGGGCGAGCGUUAAUCGGAUUUACUGGGCGUAAAGCGCUCGUAGGCGGUAUGUCAAGUCAGUGGUGAAACCCCCGCGCUCAACGGUGGAAUUGCCUUUGAGACUGGCAGACUGGAGUGUGUGAGAGGAUAGUGGAAUUCCAGGUGUAGGAGUGAAAUCCGUAGAUAUCUGGAAGAACAUCAGUGGCGAAGGCGACUAUCUGGCACAUAACUGACGCUGAGGAGCGAAAGCGUGGGUAGCAAACAGGAUUAGAUACCCCAGUAGUC